CCACGUGUCACUUGAUUAGGGCAUCCGUUUUUCACUUUUCCGCCCAACAGUGUUCCGUCCCUUUAUCUCACUCCUAAAAACCCUAGAUCUUCCAAUUCUUCUUUUGUACUCCUCUUCCUUUCUCAUAGCGAUUCAAGAAACCAAUCUACGAUUCCUCUUUAGAUCUGUGUUUGUUUCUUUUGAUUCCUCAUUACUGUUUUCUUUACAGAUUUGCAGGUGGGGGAAUUGAUUCCUUACUGAAAUCGGUGAACCCUGUAUCAAUCAUUCAUUCGCAAUCCUAUGUCACCUCUUCCUUGACAAGUGAACCCUAAAUUGAUCCCCCAAAGCCUCUCAUCCAGAGUGCUGAAUAUCAAGUUUAAUGCUGCGAAGGUCUUGCAAUCUCGAGUUCCUAUAUAUCUGAAGAACUCUGUAGAUAAAAUUGUUAACUUUUUUGAAAGCAAUGCUGUCGUGAGUCAGAAGAUAGCCUUGGAAACAGCCGCUGCUGUGCAGAUGACGAUCGAUGAGGUUAAGCGCUCUACACAACUGCAAGUAAACAAGGCCCUGAAGGAUCAUGCCAAGUGUGUAGUUUUUUUUUUCAGUGGUGACAAUAAGUUUUACCAGUUUUGCCAGUUUUUUGGUUGAUUAUAGUUAUUUACAUGGUGUUCUUCUUGGACUUAGAUAUAGCAGCUCCCAAGAUCACCAUUCCAACUGAAUUUUCACCUGACAGUUUUCAUUCGACAUAACUCUUGCUUGACCUCGGAAACUUGAUAAUUCGUACUCAGUCUUUGAUCCCAAUCACACAUAAUGACCGGCGUUCUGAUUUACUUGGUUCCGAAUUCUCCAGCGACGUUUCCUGGCCGACAACCCUGAAUAGAUAAUCGCCUCCUUGGUGAUUUGAAUUUGUACUUGCUGACUUUAACAUACUGAAGUUGUCUAAAUUCACUUUUUUCAAGUGUUUAACUGUAUAAAAACGUUAUAUAUGAUUAUGGCUUCACAGGUUCAAGUAAGCAUGACAACAAGGGUAACACACACUCUCUCUCUGUGAUGCAUAUGAGAUUGUGAUGCAUAUGAGAUUGUUAUUAUAUACUGUUAAGUUAAAUGCAUGUAACUAUGAUGUCUGUUGAAAUUUUCAGAUAAACGCCUUCCACCCCUGGCAUAUUCCUGGCACGAUUUACCCUCAAAGAAUAAUAAUAAUGUUCUAACCUUGGUUAGCAUAUGGGCUCCUAUAGUGGCUCUGUGUAAUUUUUUCUCUUUCCAAUCUGCAAGUUAUUUAUAAAACAAUUUAUUUUGAGCAAUAUUUGUUUCAUUAAAAGAAGUCUCAUCUGUUAUGUGUAUUUGGUGAAACCCGAGUAUGAUGUGCAGGUUAGUCAUAUUAAUUUUUCUUUUAAUUAUUGCAGAUAAAAACUUUGAUGAUCUUUUUUGUUAUAUAUGUAGGCUUGGUGUAUGCUUCUGAAUGACAAGGUUUCUUUUAGAAUGCAAUGGCCACAGUUCGCAGAGCUACAAAUCAAUGGAUGGAGUCAUUUUGCUCAAUUCACAAUAGAUGUGGUGAAUAAAGACCCCAAGAAAUCAAAAUAUUCUGAUACAUUACAUCGCUUCUGGAAGAAACAGCAUGACUGGGGAUGGAAAAGGUUCAUGGAAUUAUCCAAAGUGUUAGACGGGCUUCUCGAUGCCGACACGCUCAUAAUAAAAGCUCAAGUCCAAGUUAUCAGGUUUUUAGCUACUUUAAUGAUCUAACGUAAAUUCAUUCAUAAUGUAUCUUAUUUUGUCGAUAUCUAUUUUGAUUGGUGCGUGUUCGAGCAAUUAAUGUUUGAUACUUUGAUUUCUUACGGAAAUAGAAUAAUAGCUGGUCUAACAAAUUCGGCGUAAAACGGUUAGAUUAUUUAAGACUAAUUGUACUUGAAUAGGAUAUAUUAACUCAAUAUAGCCAUAUUAAGUUAUUGCACUCGUGUGAUAAUACUACAUACACUUGAAUAGGAUAUAUUAACUCAAUAUAGCCAAGAAAAGUUUAUGAAAAGUUUAUAACUCUUCUUAUAGCGAAGACAUUAAUAUAUCAUGUUUUUUGUAUGAUCUUAAGUGUGUAUUAAUUAAUAAUAAUAAUUAACCUAAAUAAUUUUCUUGAGUCCGGAAAGCAAUCCCGGCUAGUACUAGUUAUAUAUAACAAAUGAAAAGAAUUAGGGCCACGUGUCACAAUAUUAGAGCACUUUGGGCGGGAAAAUGUUUGGGCUAUCCCCGUUUUAUUUACGCGCACUGGAAACUUGAUAAGGAUCUAUUGAAAACCCUAAAAUUCACAGCUUCAAAAGUCAGGUGAUCUGGAUUUUUGUUUGGUUCUUCUUCAUUCAAACCCUUAAUCUCCUCUGAAGUUGUGUCUUCAAUCUUCCUCGCUCUCUGCGUUGGAUCUUCCUCGCUCUCUGCGUUGGAUCUUCCUCUAAUUCUGUAUGAUUGAAACAUUGGAGCAUAUGAUGAUGGAAUAUGACUGGGUUCAAGUAAUUUUGAUUCAUCCAACUUUUGUUACGAUCUGUUAGGGUUUCAUUUCUUCACUUUCGGUUUCCAAUCUGUUAGGGUUUCAUCAAGCAACUUCAGUUUCUUCAAAAAUGCGGACAAAUUCAUAAUUACGGAGAUUAAUUUUGCGGAAAUUAGGGAUUUCAUAACACUUUCUGCUGUUGAAUCUCUUCAAUUUGUGUCCAUGUUGAUUCAAGGGUCAUUAUUUCUCCAAUUUGAAGGUAAAUCACUUCACAAUUCAUUGUGAAAAUGCUUUAAUAUUAGGGGUUUUUGUAUGCAUUUUGAUCAUUUCUCUAACAUAUACGUCAGCUUGAGUUAGAGGUUAUUGUACAUUUUGAUCAUUUCUCUAACAUAUACGUCAACAACUUGACCUGUUUCUACUUUCUACCGUAAACUAACUUUUUUUACUACAUUUAUCAUUAAAGUAGCUAGGACGGCUUGCUGACCCGUUACAAUGGGUCAUAAGUACCUGUGACAACUGAAUUCUAAAAAGAGGCUUCCUCACAGUCUCAUGCAAUGUUUUAAAAACCGGUUUUUAAAUCAAACCGGAUUAGGCUAAAA
rnacentral:lncRNA from 1 species